AUUGAACGCUGGCGGCAGGCCUAACACAUGCAAGUCGAGCGGUAGCACAGAGAGCUUGCUCUCGGGUGACGAGCGGCGGACGGGUGAGUAAUGUCUGGGAAACUGCCUGAUGGAGGGGGAUAACUACUGGAAACGGUAGCUAAUACCGCAUAACGUCGCAAGACCAAAGUGGGGGACCUUCGGGCCUCAUGCCAUCAGAUGUGCCCAGAUGGGAUUAGCUAGUAGGUGGGGUAAUGGCUCACCUAGGCGACGAUCCCUAGCUGGUCUGAGAGGAUGACCAGCCACACUGGAACUGGGACACGGUCCAGACUCCUACGGGAGGCAGCAGUGGGGAAUAUUGCACAAUGGGCGCAAGCCUGAUGCAGCCAUGCCGCGUGUAUGAAGAAGGCCUUCGGGUUGUAAAGUACUUUCAGCGAGGAGGAAGGCGUUAAGGUUAAUAACCUUGGCGAUUGACGUUACUCGCAGAAGAAGCACCGGCUAACUCCGUGCCAGCCGCCGCCGUAA
rnacentral:rRNA from 1 species